UACAGAGGGGGCAAGCGUUGUUCGGAAUUACUGGGCGUAAAGGGCGCGUAGGCGGCCUUCUAAGUCGAACGUGAAAUCCCCGGGCUCAACCUGGGAACUGCAUUUGUGACUGCAUCGCUAGAGUACGGUAGAGGGGGAUGGAAUUCCGCGUGUAGCAGUGAAAUGCGUAGAUAUGCGGAGGAACACCGAUGGCGAAGGCAAUCCCCUGGACCUGUACUGACGCUCAUGCACGAAAGCGUGGGGAGCAAACAGG
rnacentral:rRNA from 1 species